AUGUGAUCGUCUCUCGCAUAUCAAUAAGCGGAGGAAAAGAAACUAACAAGGAUUCCCCUAGUAACGGCGAGUGAAGCGGGAAGAGCUCAAAUUUGAAAUCUUAAAGGGUUUCCCUUUACGAAUUGUAGUUUAAAGAAGUGUUUUCUGUUGAGGUUUUGGUAAAAGUUCUUUGGAAUAGGACAUCAUAGAGGGUGAGAAUCCCGUAUUUGACCUUUACUUUCAACUUUGUGAUACACUUUCAAAGAGUCGGAUUGUUUGGGAAUGCAGUCCAAAAUGGGUGGUAAAUUUCAUCUAAAGCUAAAUAUUGGCGAGAGACCGAUAGCGAACAAGUACCGUGAGGGAAAGAUGAAAAGAACUUUGAAAAGAGAGUUAAACAGUACGUGAAAUUGUCAAAAGGGAAGCGUUUGACACCAGUGUUGUUUUUCUGAAAAUCAAUUAAAGAACUGUUUAUGCUAAGCUGUUUAGACUUUAUCAGCUAUCUGUUUAGUUUUGAGCUUUUCUUUAAUGCACUUUUCAGUUAACAAGUCAACAUCAAUUUCUUUUGCUGUAAAAAAGCUUGAGGAAGGUGGCUUGAGAUUCGUCUUAAGUGUUUAUAGCCUCUUGCCUAUGCAGUCGGAGAGAUUGAGGUCUGCAGCGUAGAUCCUUCGGGGCUAAAUGCAUUUGUGCUAAGUUAUAGCAUUUUAUAGACAACCUGUUGACUAUGAUUUGUCUUGUAGCUUACUCGCUUAUGUUAUUUUACCUACGCUUAGGAUGUUGAAGACUCUACAGAGAUA
rnacentral:rRNA from 1 species